rnacentral:lncRNA from 1 species
CUGUCAAGAUUUGUUCUGAUGGGAUAUGGGUAUAAAUGUUCCUCUGACCUGAGACCGCCAUGGUGACUUGCAAGCAACUCACUACACUUAGGCACUGGACUACCUGAAUUUCUAAUUCAGUGACGGAAGGCUGCUGGGUGUAGUCAAGUACUUGACUUGUCGGUGCAUGUGUCAAGAUGGGAUUGACCACUCCAGUUCAGG